rnacentral:rRNA from 1 species
GACGAACGCUGGCGGCGUGCUUAACACAUGCAAGUCGAACGGAAAGGCCCUGCUUGCAGGGUACUCGAGUGGCGAACGGGUGAGUAACACGUGGGUGAUCUGCCCUGCACUUCGGGAUAAGCCUGGGAAACUGGGUCUAAUACCGGAUAGGAGCCAUUUUUAGUGUGAUGGUUGGAAAGUUUUUUCGGUGUAGGAUGAGCUCGCGGCCUAUCAGCUUGUUGGUGGGGUAAUGGCCUACCAAGGCGGCGACGGGUAGCCGGCCUGAGAGGGUGGACGGCCACAUUGGGACUGAGAUACGGCCCAGACUCCUACGGGAGGCAGCAGUGGGGAAUAUUGCACAAUGGGCGCAAGCCUGAUGCAGCGACGCCGCGUGGGGGAUGAUGGCCUUCGGGUUGUAAACUCCUUUCGCUAGGGACGAAGCUUUUUGUGACGGUACCUAGAUAAGAAGCACCGGCUAACUACGUG